CAAAACUCAAAUUUUGACAUUCAAUUAAUAUGAAUGAGGAAUAAUAAAAUAAGUAAGUUAGGAAAUGAUACCAAUAAUAAGCCAUAUAUAAAUGUCAUAUUUUUUCAAAGAAAACCAAUAAUUAUAACCAAGAUGGGUUUAGUGGACACCAAGACGGUGGAUUCCACCGCCAAUGUAAUUAAUAAAGUAGAAUCAAAAGAGAUUGAUUUAGGCUUUACUAAUACCCUGUUGAUAAUAUUUGUUGUUAUUAUGUGUGCCAACGUAUUUUUCAAAAUAUAUAAGCUACACAAUAGAUGCCUUAAAAAGAAAUAUUUGAGUAAGGCUAAUGAUUUAGACAAAAUAUAAAUUGUCUACAUUUGGUCUCAACGACCCCGAGAUCAUACCAGAGCUGGAAUAUAUGUACAUGAGUACAUUUGGAAUCGCAAAAUAUUAAUGACACAUUAGUUAAAAUAAAAGAAAAUUUCGAUGAGUCAUACAAGUGUCUUACACAAAAUAGGUCAAUCCUAAGAGCUACAGUGAAUAAGCAUGCAACCAUAUUAGUUGAGUGUUUUAACGAGGCUCGUAAACUAAUACAUGAAAAUAGAGAACGCAUAAAAGAACAUAAUUGGUCACAGGUAUCAAAAUUUCUGAUCAAACUUCGAUCAAAUUUAAUAUCGAUUCAAGACAAAUUAAACUUGGAUAUUUCAAUUCCAACAGUUUUGAAUACUCCAUUGACCAUAGACAUAGAACAACCUGGAACCAGGUAAAAUAUAGAAGAAGAAAAUAUGGAAGAAAAAGAUCUACAAGAUCUAACUAUCCCAGCUGUGUUAACAGUACCACAAUAUCAAGAUCAAGAGUUGUCUGAUUCAGAUUCACUGAAUAGUGAGAUAGAACGAUAACAUAUCAGAAUGGCAGAAGACCCAGUUGCCCAACGGGCAUAUAUAAAAAAUAUUUCGCACGCCAUACCUGAAUUUAAUGGACAGAAACUUCAUUUGCAACGAUUUAUAACAGCAAUUAAAUUAGUUAACCUAACAAAAGGACCUCAUGAAUCCUUAGCAGUCGAAGUAAUAAAAUCAAAGAUUAUAGGAACAACUCUGUACAAAGUUAAAGAACUUAACACGAUCAGCGAAAUUAUAAAUAAACUACAAGAAACUAUAGUCGGUGAAACAUCUGACGUUGUCAAAACAAAACUGACUAAAGUAUGUCAAAAAGGGAAAACAGCAACACAAUUUACCACAGAAAUGGACAAUUUGCGAAAGCUACUUGAAGCUUCGUACAUCGAUAAAGGGCUACCAGUCGAACAUGCUGAUAAAUUCAGUACAAAAGAAGCCAUUAACACAAUGGUUAAAAAUUGUGAGCAUGGUAGACUAAAAAAACAUUUUAGAAGCAGGUAACUUCACGACCAUGAACGAUGCCGUCACAAAAUAUAUACAAUGUAGUACUGAGAUGACGGGCAAUGCAAAGUCAAUAUUGUACACGCCUACCGCGGUACUAACUACAGAAGUAACUAUCGAGGUAGAGAAAAUGGUCGUGGCUACUACAAUAACAGAAAUACAACUAGUAACUUCCAUUACAACAACAAUUAUCAGUCAAAUAACUAUAGAGGUCGUGUUAGUUAUAGAGGAAAUAACCGUGGUAACGGCAUAUCCCAUAACAACCAAAAUUACGUCAGAACUGAAAACACAAGACACAACAAUAAUGUCCGUGUUACCCAGACGGCUUCGGGAAACUCCCAAGCACCUUUAGAUACUCCAAAUCAUUAAAAGCAAAGGUUCAAACCAUCAACUUAAUCUCAACAUUUUCGUGUCAUUUGACAAUGCUAAGACAGGAAAACAUCAAACAUUCCUAGUGGAUACAGGAGCGAACAUAUCGCUAAUAAAAGAAACUUCAGAUGUCUUCAACGACAUACAAAUAGAUAAUAAAGUAGAUAUUCAAGGUAUAGGUGAAGGUAUUAUAAAAUCCCUAGGCCUUGCCCCAAUAGAGCUACAGACAGAUAAAUACAUAAUUCCACACAAUUUCCAAUUAGUAAACAAAAAUUUCGCAAUCCCAUGUGAUGAUUGAUUUCAUAAAAGAAUUUAAUUGUCAAAUUGAUCUGAAACCUUCAGAAGACUGGUUUAUAAUACGACCAAAUAAUAUAGACAUUCGCAUUUAUUUUCCAAUGACAUACAGUUCUGGUAGCAAUACAAUACUUCUACCAGCCAGAUCACAAGUUGUGAUCCCAAACCAGGAAAUUCAAACUGGUAUUUAUGUUGCAAAUACCGUUGCAACCACUCGAAACGCAUUUGUCCGAUUACUAAAUACAACCAAUAACGACCAGUUAAUUAAUAUAAAUAAUUUAAAAUAUGAACCACUUUCGAAUUACAAUGUAGUUCAAACAACUGCUAAAAUCAGGGAACAAACUGUCAUAGCUCAGCUCACAACAAAUUUUCCAGCUCCAUUCAAACAAAAAUUAACGGAACUAUGUUCCAAAUAUAAUGACAUAUUCGGACUUGAAACCGAAUCGAUAACAAUAAUAAUUUUUUUAAACAGAAAUUGAGAUUGAAGUAUACUGAACCAAUUUAUAUAAAAAACUAUCGAAGCCCUCAUAGCAAGUAGGAAAAUUAAUAGACGACAAAAUAGUCGAACCAUCCCUGUCAGAGUACAACAGCCCCCCUUUAGUUGACUAUAGUCAAAUAAACAAAAAACUCCUUUCACAUAAAUUUCCAUUACCUAGGAUUGAUGACAUUUUGGAUCAACUAGGUAGAGCAAAAUACUUCUCAUGCCUUGAUUUAAUGUCAGGUUUUCAUCAAAUAGAACUAGAAGAAAGUUCACGUCUUUUUCAACAAGCAAUGGCUCAUAUCGCUUCACGCGACUACCAUUUGGUUUAAAAAUAGCGCCAAAUUCAUUUCAAAGAAUGAUGACUAUUGCAUUCUCUGGACUUGAAGCUUCGCAAGCAUUCCUAUAUGGACGAUCUUAUAGUCAUUGCUUGUUCCGAAAAACAUAUGCUCAAAAACUUACAAGAUAUUUAUUGA
rnacentral:lncRNA from 1 species